rnacentral:rRNA from 1 species
UGGGGAAUUUUGGACAAUGGGCGCAAGCCUGAUCCAGCCAUGCCGCGUGAGUGAAGAAGGCCUUCGGGUUGUAAAGCUCUUUCGGUUGGGAAGAAAUUGCUUCGGAUAAUACCCGGAGUAGAUGACGGUACCAGCAUAAGAAGCACCGGCUAACUACGUGCCAGCAGCCGCGGUAAUACGUAGGGUGCGAGCGUUAAUCGGAAUUACUGGGCGUAAAGCGUGCGCAGGCGGUUUUGUAAGUCAGAGGUGAAAGCCCCGGGCUCAACCUGGGAACUGCAUUUGAGACUGCAAGGCUAGAGUGUGGCAGAGGGGGGUGGAAUUCCACGUGUAGCAGUGAAAUGCGUAGAGAUGUGGAGGAACACCGAUGGCGAAGGCAGCCCCCUGGGCCAAUACUGACGCUCAUGCACGAAAGCGUGGAGCAAACA